rnacentral:tRNA from 1 species
AUCAGAGUGGCGCAGCGGAAGCGUGGUGGGCUCAAAACCCACAGGUCACAGGAUCGAAACCCGUCUCUGAUA